rnacentral:lncRNA from 1 species
CUUCAGCUAUGGAACGAUGGCCCACUAGAGCGAAUGCAAACGGAACACCCCCAAAACUGGACUUUUCCGUCCCGGAGCACCUCGGCAUGUGGUCAGCCAGGUCUGCAAAACAGACCCCUUCCUCUGGCGGUUCACCCCACCCCUUCCAGAGUAGCAGUGGAGGCCUGAAGAGGAUGCUAGAAGCCCUGGACCCGGAGUUAUAGGUGCCCAGUGUCUCGGCUCGCUUCCUGUUGGCUGUGGGAUCAGGAUGCAGCUACUUCUCCGCUCUUGGCUCCUCUUCCCAGCAUCAUGUCUACCUCUGCACAUCAUCAUGUCCCACCAUGAUGACAACGAACUAAACCUCUGAAAAUGCAUGCCUCUCCAUGGUGGACUCUCAGCUCUCUGAACUGUAGGCCAAAAUACAAUCUUCUAUGAGUUUGGCCAUGGUAUUUUAUCACAGCAACAAAAGUAAACUACUAGCCCCAGCGAGGUAGGAGGCAGAGGACAAGAUGGUGUCAUUGGUGAGCCAGGCUAGGAUCGAACCGCGCACAAGGCCUGGAAAGAUGCCAAGCGUAAUGUCUGAGGUAGAGGCCAAGUUCUCUCGAACUGCUCCCAGAAUUUGCCAGGAUGACUGUUUCUUAAGCUGAUUAUCUGAGAAAUAAAUAUGAUUGCUGUCAAAUCCUUCUAUGGAUUGGGAGAGGUCUGUAUGUAAACGCCGAGUCUGGGUACCCCAGUUGGGUAGAGCCUGAGUGCGUGCCACACGUAGUGGCAUUUGAUUUUGAAAUCAGAGCUACCCGGACUGUAACUCCUUAGAACAAUGGCGAGCGCUUGCCACAGCAGGAAAUGGGGCUGGGGUAUUUUUAGAAAGUGUGAGACCCCUGGAAGCUCAUCCCUCCAGGAUCUCAGCCCAGGACCGAUGUCACCCUAAUCACCAGGCGAAUUCAAAAGCUUGAUGCAAACUGCACGAGGCUUUAUUAUAGUUGUUUAACGAGCUAACCAACCCCAUGUUAGCUCGGGUCUUUCAUCCACCCGCCAUGGUGGAUGGCUAGAAAAGACAGCUCGAAGGGGCUGCAUAGAGAUCUUAUAGGGCAGCGUAAGGGGAGUGUCUAGGGGUACGCACAGGCUCAGGAUUGGUGUGCCUCCAGGCUUGGAGGGCUUGCCCUGUGUUGAUUGGCCAACUGGUUGUUAUGGCCCAUAGGCCCUCCCAGGGUGAUUGCUAUGCUCUGUGCGUCAUUGCUGUGCGCUUGUCCAUAAAGCACACCCAGAGCCGUAAAGCAUAGCACCACCAGCUAACUUCUGAUUGGUUCCUUGCCACGAGGCAGGCAUCUAACCUCCUAGUGACCAAGGCAAGGUCAGACAAGCAUGUGUUAGGCCGUUAUGGCUGCCGAAAUGGGGAGCUGGUCCCUUCAAAAGGAGCUCUCCCUCUGUCCCCAAACCAUACUCGGGCACUGCCCAAACCCUAGUGGACCAUCGGUGUUGUCAACCAGCUCUCAUCUUUAAGAGAUGUGGGCACACUGUGGUGCUGCAAGUUGCCAAGAAUGCCUGACCAAAAACAUUGCUCUUGGGUGUGGCCAAGAGCUGCCUCCUUUACUUGAGCCCAGCCUUGCUGGCUUCCUGACCUUAUGACAUCAGCUACAGGCAGGAAGAAUUCGGAGCCCUGCCUGAGGCCACGAGUUUGACUUUGUGGGUAUGCCAUACUUGUGACCGUCUAACUUCUUGCUACCUUGCCCCAGUACACACAUCCUACAUAGACUGCCACCAGCUCCAUGACUGAAGUACCAUAUAGCUGUGGAGACGCACAGAGCUCCUUGGCAAACCGUGCACUGAAGCAGGAAGCACGGUGGCUGCCAUUUUCUUUGCCUCCCUGGAGGAGAAAGUCCUCUGUUGAUCCAUGACAACCUGACUAAGCUUGUUCCUUCAUCUUUGGUGAGUAAGACAGUUCUGCAAGCCACCUCAUCAUAUUCUCUUCCUCUUUUCUGUGGUUUAUAUCGGCACUCCCUUCUGUAGGACACGCUGCAGAAUUGCAAUGAGUCGAAAGGAACAAUGACAAAGGGGUGACUUGUCUGACCUGGCAAGCUUAGGUCAAGAGUUAACGCCCACUAGCCUAUCUGGGAGAACCCGAGUUUGCUCUGGCUUUGCCCCACAGUCAGCUGUUGCUUCAGUCGAGGGCCACAGGAGCUGGGGUUCCAGGUUGGAGACUUUCCCUCAGACACCUUGGACCAGUCAGCCCGUGUCUGCUGUGUGCACACACAGGUUGUGUGGACAGACAGGUUUUACAGCCCACUCAGCAGCCUCUUCUACUCCCACAGGGCAGGUAGCUCACAUAUUUUUUUUUUGAGCUCAAAGAUAGAAUUGGAUCUUCAGGUAAAGCCAGGGACACUCCACAGGAGUUCAGACAAUGUGAUGAAAACAUCUAAAACAACGAGGCUGCCUGUGUCCCCAAGUCACCUUUUCUGGGAGGACCAGAAGAGUUUUCCCAAUUUUCCGUGAAUUGUCCCUUCCUCCCUUUCCCCAGAGGGUAAUACUGCCCUCUAACCCGAGGAGCCACUUGGUCUAGGGCUGGGCAGUUAACAGUUAUGGCUGAACUGGCCUGGGAUGGUUUCCACUCCACAAAGCGGAGUUGAACUUCUUCCCUUGUAUCUAUGGCUAAAAUUAUCCGAAGGGAUGUCCAGGUCUCUCAGAUUCAGCUGAUGUCAGCAGAAAUGGAUGGCUUUCCUUUUGGAGGGUGUGGUGCUUUGUCGAGUGCUAGAAACCUGAAAUGAAGCAAAGUUCUCACUGGAGACUCAACGACACUCAAAGAAGUCACCCUCCAGCGGGUGGCAAACUCUCUGAUGGGGUUUGUACAAGGUAUAAAAGGAGAAGACAGACAAAAAAGACCCAGCUAGCUAAGAACUGUGGUGGUUACACCUUAAUCAGUGGCUUCACUGUUUUCUUUUCCCCUUUUAACCAUUUAUAAGCAUUUUCACACAGGAGAUCUCAGUUGGGGCUCACAAACACCCAGCGAAGGAGACAAGAUAACAGGCACUUCCCCUACAGACUGGGGACAGCUGACUGCCAGGUUCCCUCCACAGAUCCAGCAGUUAUUGAGCAUGGCCUCUGCCUGUGGACUCUGCCUCUGAGCCAGGUCUCUGGUGGCUUUUGGUUGGAGUGUUUGAUCACAGCAACAGGAAGCAAACUAGGAUCCUCAUCCUGUACAAGCC